UUAUUUUUUAGUGGGUUUUAAAUCAUGUUUUGGGCCCAGCCUUGUAGCUGUUGGAAGCCCAAUUCGUUGGCUUGUUUUCAGCCAGCUCUCUCUCCAUAAACGGUGUGUUUUGACCUUGCUUAGAGUUAGGGCUUGUCUCAUUUUCUUUUCUUCUUCACCUUUCUCCUACCGCAGCCACACACUACUCUUCUUCUUCUUUGUUUUAUUUUUCUUCUCCUACACGUCGUCCAUUCCUUCUUCAUUUUUAUUGUGUUAUUUUCUUCUGCAACCGGUGUUGCUGCAGUCGACUUUCUCCAUUUUCGUUAGGGCUAGGGUUUGUCACCCAAGAAAUCAGCAAUCCUGGAAUUAGCCUUGGAUAUGUAUCAGAGGGUUGAAAAAUACAAGCCCAAGUUUCAGAUAUGUUUUGCUAUUUCUUAUUACUGUUAGACUAUUGGAAUUAUAUAAAUACUUAUUUAAUUUCUAGAGUUCAUCUAUUUUUUUUUUAAUUGUGGGGUUUUAUUUAUUUAUUUGGGUAUGUUAUAUGCUGUUGGCUCUUGGAAUUAUAUGGCUUCUUGGGUUAAAUGGAUUACGGUCUGUCUUGGGUUUUGGGUUUGUGAAUUCAUCUGGUUUAACUGCUGUUCCAUUUUUUUUUUUUGUAGUUUUUUUUUUUGAAGUUUUUUAAUUUCCAUUGACACAGCAUCACACUACUUCACACUACUUUUCUUUUCUUAACCUAUUAACUAUCAAGAUAGCCAACAAAAAGAGAAUACAUUAUUAUUGGAACACAUUUUUAUUUUUAGAUCCUCACCCUAGGAUGUUUAUCUAAUUCUCUUUUUGCUCCUAGCUUUAGAUAUAUCACUGACAAAACAUCACACAAUUUCGAAGAUCUAUUCUGUUUUGAACAUGGAAAUCCUUUUUUUUUCUUUUUUUAUGAAAUUUUUGAGGCAUCAAUUUUUGUUCAUCUGUUCAUCUAUUUCAAACAUGUUAUUAUUGUAAAUAUUCCAUUCUUGAUUUGUUCUAUGUCAUAUAUUGUUUAGGAUUGAUUAUUUUUGUCUUUUUCUUUUAGUAUACAAUUUGAGUUAAUUUUUGGUAAUAGAUGCGAAUUUGACAUAUGGCUUUUUUGUUUCUGUGAAAGCAUGGAACUUUGCUUAACGUAUAAUGGAACGAAAAACAAAUUACUUAUAUAGUCUUUUUCAUUUUGAAACUUAUUAGUAUUUUUUUUUUGUAGGGCUAGGGUUUGUCACCCAAGAAAUCAGCAAUCCUGGAAUUAGCCUUGGAUAUGUAUCAGAGGGUUGAAAAAUACAAGCCCAAGUUUCAGAUAUGUUUUGCUAUUUCUUAUUACUGUCAGGCUAUUGGAAUUAUAUAAAUACUUAUUUAAUUUCUAGAGUUCAUCUGUUUUUUUUUUUAAUUGUGGGGUUUUAUUUAUUUAUUUGGGUAUGUUAUAUGCUGUUGGCUCUUGGAAUUAUAUGGCUUCUUGGGUUAAAUGAAUUACGGUCUGUCUUGGGUUUUGGGUUUGUGAAUUCAUCUGGUUUAACUGCUGUUUUUUUUCGAGUUUUUUAAUUUCCAAUGACACGACAUCACACUACUUCACACUACUUUUCUUUUCUUAACCUAUUAACUAUCAAGAUAGCCAACAAAAGGAGAAUACAUUAUUAUUGGAACACAUUUUUAUUUUUAGAUCCUCACCCUAGGAUGUUUAUCUAAUUCUCUUUUUGCUCCUAGCUUUAGAUAUAUCACUGACAAAACAUCACACAAUUUCGAAGAUCUAUUCUGUUUUGAACAUGGAAAUCCUUUUUUUUUCUUUUUUUAUGAAAUUUUUGAGGCAUCAAUUUUUGUUCAUCUGUUCAUCUAUUUCAAACAUGUUAUUAUUGUAAAUAUUCCAUUCUUGAUUUGUUCUAUGUCAUAUAUUGUUUAGGAUUGAUUAUUUUUGUCUUUUUCUUUUAGUAUACAAUUUGAGUUAAUUUUUCAUUUUGUCAUAUAUUCUUUUGUGAUCUAUUCUGUUUUGCUCCUAGCUUUAGAUAUAUCACUGACAAAACAUCACACAAUUUUUCUUUUCUUAACCUAUUCACUGUCAAGAUAGCUCACAAAAGAAAGAGUACACUUUUAUUUUUAGAUCUUUGAUAAAUCUGACAAUAGCAAAUGAAAGGGAUCGAAAAGUGGAAGAUAACAAAGAUCUUUGAUAAAUCUGACAAUAGCAAAUGAAAGGGAUCGAAAAGUGGAAGAUAACAAAAUAAGUAAACCACAAGAUAGACUUACAGAGAUAAAAAUCAGAAAUGUAAAACUCUGAAAGUCUCCAACCAAGAAAACCUGAAAAGAAAUCACCAUUAGAAACGAACAGAAAACAUUAAGCACUGCAUGAAACAAUGAAAAAAAAGUAGAAGAAAGAAAUGCUAGUAGGGUAAGGUAACAAUGAAAGAAAGAAGAAAGAAAAGCCAGUAGGGUAAAGAAAAUAACCCAAGAACUAAAUGUGCAGCUCUGAAAGAAAGCACCAAACGACAUAAGCAGGGUGAACAAAAAUAAUCUUCAUAGACCCUUUUAAGGUGCAAUGGCUUCCUGAACUAUCAUCCUAGGAACUCCCAUCGCAUGCAGCAGACCACUACAAAACCAAUCAACCCACUGGAAAACCAAUCAAACCAAAUAUUGGAAAACCAAAUGGAAAACUGGCAGCAUCAUACCACUGCAUAUGCAUUUUUUAUUUCUUGCAUUUUAUUUCCCAUAAUUAUUUUAAAAAAAAGGUAUAUAUUUCAUAAUAUAAAAAAUUAACCAUACGUUUUAUUUCUUUUACAUCAAAAAGAAAUUGUCGUGAUUGAUUCUUUAUUUCUUGCAUUUUUAUUUAUCAGGAUUAAAUAUUUGUGAUUUUUUCAUAUGGCAUUUGUUUUUUCUUCUUAGGUAGUGAGCACUGUUUUCUUUGUUGUGAUUAAUCAUAUGUCAUUUGUUUUUCUUCUACACUGAGCAAAUUUUUCUUCUUUAUCCUGAACGGGCAGGAUUUUUUUUAUUUGUUUUUAAGGUUUUAAUUAUUUUUUUUUAUCCAGAUUAAGAAUGUUUUUUUUAAUGGUUUUGUGAUUCCAUAUGUUACAGAUGUAAAAGUCACAAUUACCUAUACGUAUGCAAGACUCACAAUUAACUACAGGCAUGCACUGACCAACUGAAGUAUCUUCCAUACGCAUGCACUGAUAACUGACAAGAGGGGACAAGAGCAGGGCUUGGUACCAAUGCAACCAGCGUGUUUAUACUGCACAACCAAUGAAGUUAAAGACUUUUGCACGGAUGAAACACACAAAUUGAAGCAAAGAGUAAAUACGUGAAACACGGAAACAGAAUGGGAUUGCACUGUUCAUUACUGUAGCAGGAUCAUUGAUGCUUUUUAUUAUAGAGAGAUGUGAUGUUGAAGUUUGAUAAAGUUAAAAUUGUUUGAUAUUUAAACC